rnacentral:rRNA from 1 species
GACGAACGCUGGCGGCGUGCCUAACACAUGCAAGUCGAACGGAGAUUUGAGAGCUUGCUUUCAAAUCUUAGUGGCGGACGGGUGAGUAACGCGUGAGUAACCUGCCUCUCAGAGGGGGAUAACGUUCUGAAAAGACGCUAAUACCGCAUGACAUUCCUUUCUCGCAUGGGGAGGGAAUCAAAGGAGCAAUCCGCUGAGAGAUGGACUCGCGUCCGAUUAGCCAGUUGGCGGGGUAAUGGCCCACCAAAGCGACGAUCGGUAGCCGGACUGAGAGGUUGAACGGCCACAUUGGGACUGAGACACGGCCCAG